rnacentral:rRNA from 1 species
CCUACGGGAGGCAGCAGUGGGGAAUAUUGCACAAUGGGCGAAAGCCUGAUGCAGCAACGCCGCGUGAGGGACGACGGCCUUCGGGUUGUAAACCUCUUUUAGCAGGGAAGAAGCGCAAGUGACGGUACCUGCAGAAAAAGCACCGGCUAACUACGUGCCAGCAGCCGCGGUAAUACGUAGGGUGCAAGCGUUGUCCGGAAUUAUUGGGCGUAAAGAGCUCGUAGGCGGUUUGUCGCGUCUGCUGUGAAAACGCAAGGCUCAACCUUGCGCCUGCAGUGGGUACGGGCAGACUAGAGUGCGGUAGGGGAGAUUGGAAUUCCUGGUGUAGCGGUGGAAUGCGCAGAUAUCAGGAGGAACACCGAUGGCGAAGGCAGAUCUCUGGGCCGUUACUGACGCUGAGGAGCGAAAGCGUGGGGAGCGAACAGGAUUAGAUACCCUGGUAGUCCACGCCGUAAACGUUGGGAACUAGAUGUGGGGUCCAUUCCACGGAUUCCGUGUCGCNGCUACGACAUUAACGUUACCCGUCCGUCGGGAGGUACGGCCGCGACGGACGUAAACGUUAAAGGUAAGUUAGACGGCGUGAGACGUGCCGAACGGACGACGACGAGGGAGGUAGG